UAAACGAACAAACUCUUCUUAGAGCAUUCCCAUCGGUGGGAUCUGUUUUAUUUUCUAAUAAUAAAAUGGAAUAAAAAUAAAGUUUUAAUCAUUUUAUUUCUUCGAACCGUGUCUCUGCGCUGAUGAAAUUAGAUACUGAGAGACCCACAACGUGUCAAAAUUCUAUUGAUUGCGUUUGGUUUUUUUUUUUUUCUCUUUUAUUUUUUCUGCAUUUGCCUCUCUUUCCCUUUUGACACAAACAAAAAUUCGAAAGCAAAAAUCGAUUUUUCAAAAUCUGAUUCACAACCUAAUCGAAGUUCCCAUCGAUCUCGAAGCUCGUUUUAGUUUAUAGGCUUCAAUCUCUGAAUCUGCGUUAGAAAAGCUAAGCAAGAGCAAUCAAUUCCAUGGCGUUAUGUUCUACAUUAUAUCUUUUUCUUCUUUUUUUUUUGGGGUCUGCAUAUGGACUUGCUCUGCUUCUAGGGAGUGAUGAUGGUGUUCAACCUCCGAAGAAUAACAAAAUUAGGACUUGUCAAGUUGGACAUGAGGAAUUUAGUGGUUUGAGUUUUCAAAUGCUUCACGUUCUAAUUUUCUGAGUCGUAGGCUCUAGGAAGGUUGCUUCAGCCUAAGUGUGUGUUUCAGCUCAUCUGAGCUUGGUUGUUCCAAUGGGAUUUGGAUUCGGCUGAAGAGUUGAUCAAACUGGACCCUGAGUCGAACUGUCUUUAAAUUCAGGAUUUGGAUUCGCCACCAAUUAUGGAGGAAGAUGAAAUCAAAUCGGUUCCGGUUAACGAAGAGAGAGCUAUUGUUCUUUAUAAUCCUCUCCAGCAUUAUCAUCAACCUCCUCACCUUUUUGUUGAUACAGACUUGGUUUUAGGGCUCAAGAAUAUGUUUUUGCGUUCUUCGGCAUCCCUUUAAUUUUGUUGUAACCUCUCCAGUGUGUUUUUAAAUCAGAGACGUCUGCUCCUUGGUGCCACCAUCGCUUGUCCUAAAGUUGAUGCUUUCACCGCUGCUUCUCAGAGAAGAUAUGUUUUUGCGUGAUGCUGGGACCCAUCCCAGUUCCAGUCCUUUGAGGAACCGUCUGCGCCAAAGAUUACUGAGUUGGAUGGUGAGGAUGAGAUGAGAUGAUGGAGGAAGCAGCCAUGGAUGUGGAAGAAGCAUCGCUGCCACCGCAGCAGCCGCAACUCGUGGGAGGGUUGUAUCAGUGGCAACAGCAGCAACAACUUCAUUGUAUGGUACCACAACUUCCCCAAAUCAACUCUACUCCUAUCUCUACUUCCACAACUUCUUCUUUUUAAACCACACUUUUUUAGUAUUGUAAUUUAUGUUUUAAUGUUUUUAUAUUGUAAUAUAUUUGUUUUUUUAUACAGUUUCUAGUUUUAUUUUUCUAAUAUUGCAUAGAUUAUAUAACCAACAUGUAUAACAUUAUAAAAUAUACUUUAAACACAUUUUUAAUAAAAAUUAUAUAAGACA